CUCUCACUUUCUAACCCUGUGCAUCUGUUAAUUGGAAUAGUAGCUCUUCGGAGUGAACCACCAUUCACUUAUAAAACACAAAGUCUAUGAAUGUAUACAAAUUUAUAACAAAACAAAACUUUCAACAACGGAUCUCUUGGCUCUCGCAUCGAUGAAGAACGCAGCGAAAUGCGAUACGUAAUGUGAAUUGCAGAAUUCAGUGAAUCAUCGAAUCUUUGAACGCACCUUGCGCUCCUUGGUAUUCCGAGGAGCAUGCCUGUUUGAGUGUCAUGAAAUCUUCAACCCACCUCUUUCUUAGUGAAUCUGGUGGUGCUUGGUUUCUGAGCGCUGCUCUGCUUCGGCUUAGCUCGUUCGUAAUGCAUUAGCAUCCGCAACCGAACUUCGGAUUGACUUGGCGUAAUAGACUAUUCGCUGAGGAUUCUAGUUUACUAGAGCCGAGUUGGGUUAAAGGAAGCUCCUAAUCCUAAAGUCUAUUUUUUGAUUAGAUCUCAAAUCAGGUAGGACUACCCGCUGAACUUAAGCAUAUCAAA
rnacentral:rRNA from 1 species